GUUUUGUUGGUCAGCUGUUCAGUCUUCGGAGGGAAUUCGUAUAAGAAAGGCAGACAAUUUCUUCAUAAGAUUUUUUUUUCUUCUCUAAUCAAGAUUUCCAUUGCAGUCAUGUAGGCGUGGGUAGAGGACCAAGACAGAGGAGUCCAUUCAGUUCCACAAAUUGGAUGUGGCCUAGCCUAGCUUGACUAUUUUCUGACCCACUAUGUGUGAAUUAUACCUUUAUAUAAACAUAUUGAAACGUGAAACUGAACAGUAUUGAGUUUCGUAUAGUCCUUUGGUGUGGGUAAUUGCUAAAAUAGCCACAAAGUUACAUUAAGUUCAGCUCAUUUGUACCUCAUGUAAGCGAAUUUGGACCUUUAGGAUCUCUUGUUUGAUUAUUAAACCUUUAUAAAUAUGGUAAACAUGCUGAGUUGUGAUAUAAUAAUCUAGAUCUCGAACUACAACCACUGAAUAAAAGCUUCAGAGAACUUGUUCGAUACAUUGAAUAUUACUCAAACCAUACUGCCCCGUACACAUAUGUAAGUGAAACUAAAAAAAUAACAUAACCAACUACCUUAAUUUUAAAGAAAAAAUAUUCGUUGUUCUUCUCUUGUUUUUACAUUCCUUUUGUAAUAAUUCACUGACAGAUAAUCAAAUAUUACCUUCCAAUUAACUCAAUUCUAUAAGGAAACUGAUUGUGUUACACAGUAAAGUCAUACACAGUUGAAUACACAUUACGUGUUUUCUGUAUCAAUCAUCCAUGUAUUCCACUUUGCUCCAUUUAUUUUUCAUGUAUUUAAAUAACGUUUAUUAUAAGAUUCGCUUUUGUAAUAAUCAUCUCUUCUGUAUUUAGAAAAUGCUUUUCUAGUACUAAAACGCAUGACCAGUGGUAAUUCAAAGGAAACAUUUUACAUUUAACUGUGUUUACAUUUGACCUUGUUUUCUUAUCGCGAUUUCGAAAACAAUGGAAACAACUGUACCCUUUAUAAUGUAUACUUAAUAAAGAUACGUGCAGAACAAUGUAUCGACUUUUUCAUUUUUAAGAGAAAAUAAAAUAAUUUAACUUAAAUACUACACGCCAGAUUUCUGACAUACGUUUCUCUGCAACAAUAUUCAGUGACAACACAUAAUGUUAAAGGCCGCAGUUGCUGUAUGUUUAAAGUACUCUUUUCAGUUAUUUCUUGUUUAAAACACAUAUAGAAUACUAGGUCAGUGCCGAAUAAA